AAGAGCAAACCCGGGGAACUGAAACAUCUAAGUACCCGGAGGAAAGGAAAUCAAUUGAUACUCCCCUAGUAGCGGCGAGCGAACGGGGACCAGCCGAGCCUUGAGCGUGACUAGAAUGUGCUGGAAAGCACAGCCAUAGCGGGUGACAGCCCCGUAUAGGAAGCGUGAUGGGACGUAUUAAGUAGGGCGGGACACGUGAAAUCCUGUCUGAAGAUCGGAGGACCACCUUCGAAGGCUAAGUACUCCUUACUGACCGAUAGUGAACCAGUACCGUGAGGGAAAGGUGAAAAGAACCCCGGGAGGGGAGUGAAAUAGAACAUGAAAUCGUAAGUUUACAAGCAGUAGAAGAGCGACUUAACGCUCGACUUCGUGCCUGUUGAAGAAUGAGCUGGCGACUUGUAGGUUAUGGCAAGGUUAAAGUAAGAAAAUACUGGAGCCAGAGUGAAAGCGAGCUUGAUAAGAGCGUUAAGUCAUAAUUUACAGACCCGAACCCGGAUGAUCUAACCAUGGCCAGUGUGAAGCUUAGGUAACACUAAGUGGAGGUACGAACCGACUGUUGUUGAAAAAACAGCGGAUGAGUUGUGGUUAGGGGUGAAAUUCCAAUCGAAUCCGGAGCUAGCUGGAUCUCCCCGAAAUGCGUUGAGGCGCAGCGACU
rnacentral:rRNA from 1 species